GGCCCGAUGCGAGCCAGCUCAAAGUGCCACGACUCCAUUUAAAGGAAGAGGAUUCCCAGACGAACUGCCUGAGAAAUAAUUUGGGGAAAUAGCUGCAUAUUUUACUUCAGAUUGAAAGAAAUUCAACGACAACAUCCGUGCUUCUUCAACCGCCCCAGAAGCGGUCUACAGUAGCUACAUCAGCAGAUAUAUAUAAAAAAUAAGGACAGCUAACCCGUCAUAGUGGUCAUCAUGGAUCUGUAUGACCCUCAGACGCUAGGCAUCAUGGUAUUUGGAGGCUUCAUGUUCAUCUCAGCCCUUGGCAUCGUCCUGGUCUCCACCUUCUCCAUGAAGGAGACCUCGUAUGAGGAGGCUCUGGCCCAGCAGCGUAGAGAGCUGGGCAAGAUGGCACCUCCCAGCCAACUGACCAAGAAGGACAAGAAGAAGGACAAGGUAUCUGAGAAGAAGAACCGUGGUAAGAAGAAAGAUGACAAGCCCAAUGGGAAGCUGCCAGAAUCGGAACCAGAGGAGGUCCCAGUGGCCGUACCUGAACCAACCCCAGCCCCAGAAAGAGUCACUGCUCCUGCCCCAGCCCCAGAAAGAGCCACUGCUCCUGCCCCAGCCCCUGAACCAACCACUCAUCCUGCUCCAGUUCCCACUGCCGUAGAGGCCCCACCUGCCCCUGCACCAAAGGAGAAGAAGAAGAAGGAGAAGAAGGUGGCUAAGGUAGAGCCAGCUCAGGCGGCCACCACCCCCAUUGCCCCCUCCAAGCCUGCACCAGUCCUGGAGGCUGUCACCAAGGAGGUCCCUGUGAUGGCAGUGCCCCCAGUGGGCUCCCAGCAGACUGCAGCCAAGGCUCAGGAGGCCAAGGCUCAGGAGGCCAGGGCUCAGGAGGCCAGGGCUCAGGAGGCCAAGGCUCAGGAGGCCAGGGCUCAGGAGGCCAGGGCUCAGGAGGCCAGGGCUCAGGAGGCCAGGGCUCAGGAGGCCAGGGCUCAGGAGGCCAGGGCUCAGGAGGCCCAGAACCCUUCUAAGAAGAAGGCAUCUUCCAAGAAAAAAGCUGAGUCUGCCAUACCAGUGGACUCUGGUCUGGAUUCCCCCCUGUACCUGCCCUACAGGGCCCUGGUCUCUACCGUUAGCAGUAUGGUGAUCAGUCAGGGAGAGGCCCAGCGCCUCAUAGAGAUCCUGUCUGACAAGGCUGGCAUCAGACAAGACACCUGGCAGAUGGCUACUCAGAAGGGCGACCCGGUGGCUGUGAUGAAGAAACAGUUAGAGGAGAAUCAGAAACAGCUGGCAACUCAGCAAGAGGACGCCACCGCAGCCAAGAACAGACUGAGGGAACUCACCAAGGAGCUAUCUGCUGAGAAGUCCAAGGUGGCCAGUGUGGAAACCAGGCUGAGUUCCCAGCUCUCGUCCAGGGAGCAAGAGAUGAUCGCUCUGCAGGCUCGGAUGCAGGCCUCCUACCAGGACCACGUAGCACAGACACAGAAACUCACCGCUAAGGUCAUCAGUCUUCAGGAGCAGUUGGAGUCAGGUCCCACUGCCCAGCUGGCUUGUCUGCAGCAAGAGAACUCCAUCCUCAGAGAUGCCUUGAACCAGGCCACCAGCCAGGCAGAGAGCAAACAGAAUGCAGAGCUUGCCAAGCUGAGAGAGGACUGUGCCAGACUGACCAAGGAGCUGGGGGAGAGGAGUGAGAGCCUUCAAGCUGAUGAGAAGGUCAAGAGAGGGCUGGAGACAAAGGUGUCUUCUGUAGAGAAACAACUUACUCUACUGCAGGCCAGCCGUGUAGAGAGUGAGCAGGUGCUGCAGAGGAGGCUGGAGGAGGUUAGUGAAGAGUUGAGGAGUUCACAGAGCACCCUGGAGAAAGCCCAGCAGGACGCUACCUCCGUCGCAGACAUCCAGGUCCAUCUGGGCAGGAUAGAGGCUGAUCUGAAAGAGCGUAGUGCCCAGGUGGAGGCCCUAACAGCCCAGCUGGAGCAGACCGAGCUGGAGAAAGGACAACUGGAGGAUCAGGUAGAAUCCAUCAACGUCCUGCUGGAGGCCAGCCACAACAGAGAUGUGGACGAGGACACGGAGAUGUGGAGUUGGUCUUUUCUCAACAACACCAAUCAUUUAUCUUCCAGUCUUCAGGACAGAGACAGUCAGUUGGCAUCACUCCAACAGGAGCUGAAGCAUCUCCAAGAACUGAAACAGGAGGCUUCUGCAGUCGCUACAGCUGAGACCGAGAGCCCACCUAACAGAAUGAAGGAAAGAACGAGCCAGGAAGUGAAGCAACCCAAAGAAACAUCAGAGCAGGCCCAGAGCAGCACUGCUCAGUCCGACAACACCGCAGAACUGGCGGUGCUACAAACCAGGUUGUUUAUUAGUCUGGCAGAGAGGGACGCUAUGAUGGCAUCACUACAGGUGGAGCUAAGGGAAGCCAGGGACCAAUCGCAGAAGGUACAGGAGACCCUCGCUCAGGUCCAGCAGAGCCAGGAAUCAGAGCCUAGCACAGAGCUGCCGGAGCUGUUGGAGAAACUUAAGGAAGCAGAGGACAGCCACGGGACACUGCAGGCAGAGUGUGACCAGUACAGAACAGUCCUGGCUGAAACGGAAGGAAUGCUGAAGUGCCUUCAGAAGAGUGUAGAGGAGGAGGAGCUGGUGUGGAAAUCCAAGAUUGCUGACUCUGAGGACCAGUUGAAGAAGGCCCUGGAACAAGUGCACACUCUGAAGGAGACUGCAGAGAGCUUGAAGGCAGAGAACCAAAGCAUAGAACAGCUGAAGGAGCAGUUGAUGCUGUUGGAAGCCCAGUUGGAGAAACAGUCCGAGACCGCCCCGAAAGAGGAGGAAAUGGCACCGGUACACAUCUACAUCCACACAGUACACCAUAGCUCAAGGUCCGGUCCCAGUUGAAUCAGACCACAGAGGAGUUUGAACAGGCUCAGAAGACGGUUGCAGAGCUCCAGGCUCAGCUGGACCUGCUGAAAGAGGCAGGAGACUCCCCACAGGCUGACACAGAGGACGUAGCCCAGCUAAAGGAGCGCCUGCAGAAAGAGAGAAAACUAGUCAAAGAUCUUGGCCAAGCAGCCACCAAACUCCAGCAGCUCUUAAAGUCCACUCAGGAGCAGCUUGCCAAAGAGAGGAACAAACACCGCACACUACAGGACCACUCUGAUGAGACCAAGAGUACAGUGCUGAAGGAAGGAACAUCUGUUUAAGAGACUGAAGACAAGACAUUAAAACAUUCCAAAAAGGCCUUGAUAUGAUUACUAUUACCAUAGUUAUGUAUUCCAAAAUCAUUCUUAUUUCUUUGUACUGUAGUAGUUGAUUUCUGCAACUCCUGUAAGAAUCAAAGGACCAGUUUCCCAGACACAGAUGCAUGGUCAAUGGAGAAUCUCCAUUUAAAAUAACUUUUUAGUCCAGGACUAGGUUUAAUCUGUGUCUGUGAAACCGGACCAAAAUGUUUAGCUAUUGCUAUGAACAUUUCAUUGUAUGAUCUAUGAUGAGGAAAAAAAGACUAUGCUGCAAACAAAACUUUGUUGAAGAAAAACUUCCAUUCCAUCAAUGAUUCUGGCUAUGUCAGAAGUUAUACCUAAUACUAGCUUUGGUCCAGGGCAUUGGACCAGAGUUAACCUAUUACCUACUCUGCCUUAUAUUCACAAUGACCCCCCCCCCCAUCCAGAGUCCAGUGUUAAAAGGGAAAACAAUUGUGCGUUAACGCGUACAUCGACCUGUGCAAUUACUUUGUCUGUAUCCAAAAUGGCACCCUAUUCCCUAUAUAGCACACUACCUUUGACCAGGGCCCUCGGCGAAACGCAAUGGGCCCUUGGUCAAAAGAAGUGAACUAUAUAGGGAAUAAAUAUGGUGCCACUUUCGGACACACCUUUUGUGUGUGUCUUUUCUAAGAGGUUGGUUGAAUGGUGGGUAGAUUUUAUGGUACACACAAUGGAUGGGUGAAUGCAAUACAGUGAGUGCCUCCUUCAGUACUGUGUGCGCAGUAGCUGGCUGCCAACACACAUGAAUGACUUUGAUAAAGAAUAAACUACAAUGUAGCUAUGUGUAA